AGAGUUUGAUCCUGGCUCAGAGUGAACGCUGGCGGAGUGCCUAAUACAUGCAAGUCGAACGUGAAAGCCUUCGGGUGAGUAAAGUGGCGCACGGGUGAGUAAUGGAUAAGAACAUGCCCUGAAGUGGGGAAUAACUGUUGGAAACGACAGCUAAUACCGCAUGGCAUCGCAAGAUUAAAGGUGGGGACCGCAAGGCCUACCGCUUCAGGAUUGGCUUAUCUCCCAUUAGCUAGUUGGCAGGGUAAUGGCCUACCAAGGCAACGAUGGGUACGUGGUCUGAGAGGAUGAUCACGCACACUGGAACUGAGACACGGUCCAGACUCCUACGGGAGGCAGCAGUAGGGAAUAUUGCACAAUGGACGCAAGUCUGAUGCAGCAACUCCGCGUGAGUGAAGAAGGCCCUUGGGUUGUAAAGCUCUUUAGAGUGGAAAGAAGUGCCUGUCGGCGAACAGCUAGCAGGUGUGACGGUACCACUAGAAUAAGCACCGGCUAAUUUCGUGCCAGCAGCCGCGGUAAUACGAAAGGUGCAAGCGUUACUCGGAAUCACUGGGCGUAAAGCGCGCGUAGGCGGUCUCGUAUGUCGAUUGUGAAAGCCCCGGGCACAACCUGGGAACUGCAGCCGAAACUGCGAGACUUGAAUGUUGGAGAGGGUGGGGGAAUACCUAGUGGAGAAGUGAAAUUCGUAGAGAUGUGGAGGAACACCAGAGGCGAAGGCGGCUCUUUGGUCUGUAACUGACGCUGAGGCGCGAAAGCGUGGGGAGCAAACAGGAUUAGAUACCCUGGUAGUCCACGCCGUAAACGAUGAGUGCUAAGUGUUAGAGGGUUUCCGCCCUUUAGUGCUGCAGCUAACGCAUUAAGCACUCCGCCUGGGGAGUACGGCCGCAAGGCUGAAACUCAAAGGAAUUGACGGGGGCCCGCACAAGCGGUGGAGCAUGUGGUUUAAUUCGAAGCAACGCGAAGAACCUUACCAGGUCUUGACAUCCUCUGACACUCCUAGAGAUAGGAGGUUCCCCUUCGGGGGACAGAGUGACAGGUGGUGCAUGGUUGUCGUCAGCUCGUGUCGUGAGAUGUUGGGUUAAGUCCCGCAACGAGCGCAACCCUUGAUCUUAGUUGCCAGCAUUCAGUUGGGCACUCUAAGGUGACUGCCGGUGACAAACCGGAGGAAGGUGGGGAUGACGUCAAAUCAUCAUGCCCCUUAUGACCUGGGCUACACACGUGCUACAAUGGGUGGUACAAAGGGCAGCAAAACCGCGAGGUCGAGCCAAUCCCAUAAAACCACUCUCAGUUCGGAUUGUAGGCUGCAACUCGCCUACAUGAAGCUGGAAUCGCUAGUAAUCGCGGAUCAGCAUGCCGCGGUGAAUACGUUCCCGGGCCUUGUACACACCGCCCGUCACACCACGAGAGUUUGUAACACCCGAAGUCGGUGGGGUAACCGUAAGGAGCCAGCCGCCUAAGGUGGGACAGAUGAUUGGGGUGAAGUCGUAACAAGGUA
rnacentral:rRNA from 1 species